AGUCAUUGGGUCAUACUAAACCUAAAGGCGCAAAUGAAAGUGUCUAAGGGCCAAACGGUCCCCGCUUGGGAGGAUGGUCCCCCGGCGCACUCCGCCGGAGACCCGCACUCCCGGGGCGUCUCGUUCUCGUUUCGAGUUGAGGCGCACCAGGAGCGCACACGCUGUUACCCGAAAGAUGGUGAACUAUGCCUGGCCAGGACGAAGCCAGGGGAAACCCUGGUGGAGGUCCGAAGCGGUUCUGACGUGCAAAUCGAUCGUCUGAGCUGGGUAUAGGGGCGAUAGACCAAUCGAACCAUCUAGUAGCUGGUUCCCUCUGAAGUUUCCCUCAGGAUAGCUGGCUCUCGAGCUUGAGACGAGUCUCAUCCGGUAGAGCGAAUGAUUAGAGGUGAUGGGGUCGAAACGACUUCAACCUAUUCUCAAACUCCCAAUAGAUGAGAGCCCCGGCUUGCUUGAAAGUGAAGCCGCGGGACUCGGAUCAGAGAGGCCAAGUGGGCCAAUUUUG
rnacentral:rRNA from 1 species